UUAGCCUGGACUGUAUCCCGACAAUACUCUGUGAGUUUAUAUUACAGGGGAUUUAGCCUGGACUGGUAAUCCCGCUGUAAGGAUGAGGUUUGCGGGAGUGUGCUCUCUGAAAUGGAAAUGUGCGCACAUGAAUAUGAAUUGACGGACCCGGAUUUGUACACUUAGGUGUACCCCUGAAUAUCCAUCGAAAUUCCAAGUAGUUCAACGGGAUAAAUAUGGAAAAAUAACAAGGAAAUGGAAAUCAUGGAAUUGAUGAGCUCAUCAAUCAUUUAUCUUUGUAAUGAAUUUGUAUGAGGUUGAGUUUGUAUGUGAUAGGUAUAUGUUUAUGUGAAUUGGAUGUGUGCUUGUGUUAUUAAAUGAUGGAUGUAUAAGUAUGGUAAGUAUAAUUCCUGUUGCAUGAACUUACUAAGCACAAAGUGCUUACCCUGUUUCGUUUUCCCCUGUUUGUAGAGUUAAGAGCUCGGAAGUCGGAUUUGGUCGGAGACACAUCACACUAUCAAUCUCGAGAUCUCGGUACAUAAAGGAACUUUAUUUUGGAAAUCAAUGGCAUGUAUAAGCUAGUAAAUUAGAUGUUAAUGUGAAAUGAAUGUAUGGUUAGCCAUUGGUAUGGCUAACAAAUUUUGGUUUUGGUAUGUGAUGAAAUUAUCUUAUGAAUAUGAUAAAUCUAUCUUAAAAAAAAUUCGGUAAAAUCUGGUAAUGCCUCAUACUCUAUUUCGGCGACGAAUACGGGUAGGGGGUAUUACAAUUUCUCUGUCUAAAAUACAAUCUAUUGUCAUGGCUUUUAUAGCCAUAUAUUACACUAUUUAUUAAUUUUUCUGAUUUGAUAUUGUUUCUGCUGCUUCUUGUCCUUUCGUUCUUUCCGUUUUUGCAGGUGACGGUGGAGUCAACGACGAGCAGAAACCCCUGCCUUUUCCGUUUUGGUGCAAUGGCGACAGUGGCGCUUCAGGCCUCGGGACGAGGAGCCUCGAGCGACAUGCAAGCGAAGGGGGUGCAGUGCCAGAAAUUAGUUUAAAGUUUUUGGGCCAUUGGGCCCUUUCUUUUUUUGUAAUUGGUAUUUGUAAUUGGGCCAAUUUGUAAAUGAACUGUUAUUUAUUUGAUUUUGUUUUAUUAUUUUCCCGGGCAAAAUUGGGCUCCUAUAUAUAUAUUUACACACUAAUAAUUGGUUUUAUGCAUGCCU
rnacentral:lncRNA from 1 species